GACGUAGGGCGCGAGCGUUGUCCGGAUUUAUUGGGCGUAAAGAGCUCGUAGGCGGCUUGUCGCGUCGAAUGUGAAAUCUCAGGGCUCAACUCUGACAUUGCAUUCGAUACGGGCAGGCUCGAGUUCGGUAGGGGAGACUGGAAUUCCUGGUGUAGCGGUGAAAUGCGCAGAUAGUCAGAGGAACACCAAUUGCAAGGCAGACUC
rnacentral:rRNA from 1 species